AGGGAAUCUUCCACAAUGGGCGAAAGCCUGAUGGAGCGAUGCCAUGUGAACGAUGAAGGUCUUUUUGAUUGUAAAGUUCUUUUAGAGGGGAAAAUGAUGAUGGUACCCUUUGAAUAAGUGACAGCAAACUAUGUGCCAGCAGCUGCGGUAAUACAUAGGUCGCGAGCGUUAUUCGGAUUUAUUGGGCGUAAAGCAAGCGCAGGCGGACGGACAAGUUUUGUGUUAAAAGCAGUUGCUCAACAAUUGUUUGCGCUGAAUACUGUCCGUCUAGAAUACGGUAGGAAGUUUUGGAAUUUAAUAUGGAGCGGUGGAAUGUGUAGAUAUAUUAAAGAACACCAGAGGCGAAGGCGAAAACUUAGGCCGUUAUUGACGCUUAGGCUUGAAAGUGUGGGGAGCAAAUGGGAUUAGAUACCCCAGUAGUCCACACUGUAAACGAUGGAUAUUAGAUGUUGGGACUUGUGUUUCAGCGUUGUAGCUUACGUGUUAAAUAUCCCGCCUGGGUAGUACAUAUGCAAAUAUGAAACUCAAAGGAAUUGACGGGGACCUGAACAAGUGGUGGAACAUGUUGCUUAAUUCGAUAAUACACGAAAAACCUUACCAAGGUUUGACAUCCCCAGCAAAGCUAUAGAAAUAUAGUGGAGGUUAUCUGGGUGACAGGUGGUGCAUGGCUGUCGUCAGCUCGUGUCAUGAGAUGUUUGGUUAAGUCCCGCAACGAGCGCAACCCUACUCUUUAGUUGCUUUUCUAAAGAGACCGAACAGUAAUGUAUAGGAAGGUUGGGAUCACGUCAAGUCAUCAUGCCCCUUAUGCCUUGGGCCGCAAACGUGUUACAAUGGUGAGUACAGCGUGCUGCAAGCCAGCGAUGGCAAGCAAAUCACUAAAAACUCAUCUCAGUCCGGAUAAAAGGCUGCAAUUCGCCUUUUUGAAGUUGGAAUCACUAGUAAUCGUGGAUCAGAAUGCCACGGUGAAUACGUUCCCG
rnacentral:rRNA from 1 species